UCCAGACUCCUACGGGAGGCAGCAGUGGGGAAUAUUGCACAAUGGGGGAAACCCUGAUGCAGCAACGCCGCGUGGGUGAAGAAGUAUUUCGGUAUGUAAAGCCCUCUCAGCAGGGAAGAGAAUGACGGUACCUGACUAAGAAGCCCCGGCUAACUACGUGCCAGCAGCCGCGGUAAUACGUAGGGGGCAAGCGUUAUCCGGAUUUACUGGGUGUAAAGGGAGCGUAGACGGUUGUGCAAGUCUGAAGUGAAAGCCCGCGGCUCAACUGCGGAACGGCUUUGGAAACUGUGUAACUGGAGUGCUGGAGAGGUAAGCGGAAUUCCUAGUGUAGCGGUG
rnacentral:rRNA from 1 species